rnacentral:lncRNA from 1 species
ACACCUGCAGCACAUGGAAGUUCCCAGGCUAGGGGUUGAAUCUGAGCCACAGCUGCCAGCCUACACAACAGCCACAGCAAUGCAGGAUCUGAGUUGAGUCUGUGACCUACACCACAGCCAUAGCAACAAAGGACUGGAGCUGUAUCUGUGACCCAUGCUACAGCUUGUAGCAAUGCUGGAUCCUUAACCCACUGAAUGAGGCCAGGGAUGGAACCCGCAUCCUCACAGUCGCUAUGUUGGGUUCUUAAUUGCUAACAAUAGGUGUAGUAAAUUUCAUCUACACACCUUACUAUUGAAGAAUUCAUCAUAUUACUCUGUAUGGCAAUAGCCACUGGCUAUGAAGAUGUUUGCCCUGGAUAUGAGAGCUUAUGAGUCUUCUUUUGCCUUUCUUGGAACUGCUACAGCAGACUCAUUCUUUAAAACAAGCAAAAAAAAAAGAUGAAAAGCCAUUUUUUAAAAAGAGAAAAACCAUCUGCCUUAGCAAAAUCCUUUCUACAUUUUUAUACGAAAGAACUUUUUCUUGCCAAGGGGAACUUUUACCUAGCCUAAGAGGAAUUUCUCUUCAGUGCCCUACCUAAUGCAGAACUCACCUGCAGAAGUCUAUUCAAUAUGUGCCUUAACAAUUCAUCUGUAGGUAUGGCAGCCCAAUUUAAUGCAUCUAAUGGAGAGCAGGAAGGCUCAGGAAUCAGAGACCAGAAUUAAAACCUCAAUCUGCACCGAUUAGUAGGGGCACACUACAUCCCCAUUUAUGGCUGUUAUCCCAGUUUUAUCAUCAAUUUAAUACACCUCCUUUCAGUCUCAAAAGUGUUCAGGUCUGGCUAAUAAAUUAUAUGAUCACCUUAUGGUUAUGUGUGUCAUUGCAGGCAAGACACUUAGCUUCCCCAUACACUGGUUUCACAUCUGUCCAAUGAAAGUAAGGGGUUCUAAUUUACAGGGUUGUCAUAAGCAUGAAAUUAGACAGUGGUGCUCAAGGCUUGGUUCUCAGGAGUGCCCAGUAUUCCUCUGAACACCAGCUAUGCUCAAGAGGUCCACUUUCUGGAAAAAGCAUUGCUCUGUAUGUGAAGUCUUCACCUUUAGACUGUCGGUUUGAAGACAGGAUCUGUAGUUUCCAUUUUUCAUGGUGAUAAAAUCUAUAAAAUGGUAAUGAGAUCCAUGUCCAGCAGCGUACAAUUAAUUCUGCCAUCCCUGACCAGGAGACAAAUCACUUAUGGAUAUUUAAGCUCCUAUACUCUAGAUCUUCUGGACUUUAUUUACUCUCUCCAUAAAGGUAAGAUGAAGAUCAAAAUUCACCCCAAAUCAAACCUCUAUGAAAAGUAGGCCAAGUGAAUGUGGUGCCCAUCAGGGAGGUGGGAGGGGUAAGAGAUCCUUCAAAGGGAGUGAAAGCCCCACCCCUUGGCCAAUAAAUCUGGUGGAUUUCUUACUUUCUCUCACCUAAAAGACUGGCCUUGCCCAUCGAAUGAUAGGACAGUUUCUUGAUGCAAGGUUCUGAGGCAACUCAUUUAAAAAAUUAGGUCAAAUGGUACCCAAAAUCUUGCACAUGAAUCUGUACUAGCAGUUAUCAGCCCAAGAAGCAAUGGGAUAUGCUGUUCCUUUUUACAAAGAAGAAAGACAAGAGACAGAGAGACAGAGAUGCUAUCGCUUCACUGAUAGGCUUGUUAAAUACAAAGAUGUUCUCUUUAGUCUUUAGACAUGAGCAGUAACCAUAUCUUAGAAUGGAGUGGCUCCUACUUCUUUAAGGGAGUGGCUCUGACUUCAUGAGAAAUUUGAUCAAUAACUAAAUCCAGGAAAAAUGAAGCCUCAAAAUUUGAAACUAUCCUAUUCCAAUCUUCAGCACAGUAUCUUCUGAAACAAAGAAUGAAAAAUAUAAUUCCCAUGAUUAUUCAAUAUGGUGGCCCACCGCAUUCAUGUUGGAUGUGUGACGAUCCCUCCCCGGCGCAAUUGCUACAGAUUUCAAAAGCAACUGUUCAGCAUGUUCUAAAUAUAGACUUAGAAGUUGCUGGGGGGAAAGAUGCACAUGGCAACAAAACAAUGACUCCACAUCUGGAGGACAGCAAGGAGCAGUGCAGUAGGCUGUUCUGUGGCAAAGUCAUUUCCUCUCAACAGAAGUCUCCAGAAACAGGAUAAAGGCUGACACCAUCCCCAGGAACCCAGUUAUAUCUGGGGCACAGCACCCUCGAGGAUGGGACUCCCUGGUGGCUAGGUAACAACCAGGACAAAGCCCUGGUGGACCUGUCCACUUUCACCCCAAACCCUAAUUUCUGGGAAAUUUCCCCUCCCCCACAAAUUAGGAAAAUACACCGGCAGCCAUUUCCACAACCUGUUUCUUGGGCAAUAGGGUACUUCUUAGAGCUGUGUGGUGAUUCUAUCACUUUGAAGCAAACGAAGAGGAAAACAGAAGCUGGGCUGUCUAUAGGGAAUUUUCCUGCCAAAUGUCUAUGUUUUUCUUUUUUUUCUGCACUUGAAAAACUAAACCAGAAAAAACACACUUCUGUUAAGGAUUCAGAUAAUCAGCACGUGCGGCUUUUAAUGCAUCACGUACUGAUCGAUACAUGCUUGCCAGAGGAGUGUUCUGACAAACUUGUCUCCUCUUGCAUGAUAAAGGAAUGAACCGAGGGCAAAUCAAGUGCCAUUUCUUCUUAGAGCAGGUCUAAGAAGAAAAUAAGCCAACUGGAGAUAAGCCCGCACCCCCUCCACACCCAUACCUGGCAGUCUUGAGGAAAGGCUGAGUCAGGAGGAGGUCAAUGGAAGAGAGAGGGCAGUGGUGGGGUGUGUGAUGUCCAGGAGGCUCCACAUUUCCACUCCACAAUUUCUGUACCACCCACCCCUUGGCAGAUGGGUGAGGUGGUACCCCUUCCCAAAAUGUUUUAAAUGCAUAAAAAUAAAAUGCACAGGAUUACAGAGAAAGUCAAUUAUAUUUCACUAGGGUUACCCCAACCUUAUUAAUGGUGACAUAAUAACACAUGUGCUUAUUUAUUAAUGCAUUAAAUAACACUACCCAGCAGCACGUGUAAUCACCACCAUCAUUUCUAAGUCAAAAUGAGUAGGUCAUUUCAAGAUUAUCUGUCAGCCAUCCAUAAUGUUAGAGGAAACUAUCAGAUUUUCACUGGUGAUAAAGUCACAGACAAUGCUCUACUACUCUGAUUUGUGGCCAAGGUCCAGAUGUUAGGGAAUCACUCAAUUUUAGUGAGAAGUUAGUGAAAAUCAAGGUGUCAUAUUUUCCCAUGCAAGCCCACAGGUCUCCUUGGAUUUCUGCAAAGUGGUCUGCAGUAGUUCACCUGAAACUCAUACUAUAAUCUGAGAUCAUCCCCUACUCUUACGGCCUCUUCAGAAUAAUAAGACCCACAGGGGAGCCUGAACCCAGCAGGAGAACCAGCCACCCUACAAGGGAAGGGGGAGGAUCCACACCCAUGGAAGGAGCAGGAUGGGGCCAACAUCUCUAUACUUAAUUUCUCAGUCAGCUCUACCCAAUGCAUGGGCUACAGUUUUUUGUUUUUUGUCUUUUUUAGGGCCGCACCCGCGGCAUAUGGAGGUUCCCAGGCUAGGGGUCUAAGCAGGGCUAUUGCCACUGGCCUACGCCACACCCACAGCAACGCCACAUCUGAGCCGCAUCUGUGACCUAUACCACAGCUCAAGGCAACGCCGUAUGCUUAACCCACUGAUUGAGGCCAGGGAUCGAACCCGCAACCUCAUGGUUCCUAGUUGGAGUCGUUUCCUCUGUGCCACAACGGGAACUCCUACAGUUUUUGUUUGUUUGUUUGUUUGUUUUUAAUGGUUAGUGUUAAGAUUUAUUUAAUUCAGUAGAUUCAUGGACGGUAGGGGAUUACUUUGUAAAUCACUUCCCCUGAUGUUGAGUUCUAAACCCUAUUAGCUC